rnacentral:rRNA from 1 species
AGAGUUUGAUCAUGGCUCAGGACGAACGCUGGCGGCGUGCUUAAUACAUGCAAGUCGAGCGACGAAACCAGAACUCGUAAGAGUUCUGGCUGAAAGCGGCGAACGGGUGAGUAACACGUGGGUAACGUGCCCUGGACUUCGGGACAACCACGGGAAACCGUGGCUAAUACCGGAUAACCCCAGUAAUGCGCAUGCAUAGCUGGGCAAAGCUCCGGCGGUCCGGGAUCGGCCCGCGGUGUAUCAGCUUGUUGGUGGGGUAACGGCCUACCAAGGCUAUGACGCAUAGCUGGCGUGAGAGCGUGGCCAGCCACACUGGGACUGAGACACGGCCCAGACUCCUACGGGAGGCAGCAGUAGGGAAUCUUGCGCAAUGGGCGAAAGCCUGACGCAGCGACGCCGCGUGAGGGAUGAAUGCCUUCGGGUUGUAAACCUCUUUCAGCAGGGACGAAGCCUCACGGUGACGGUACCUGCAGAAGAAGCCCCGGCCAACUACGUGCCAGCAGCCGCGGUAAUACGUAGGGGGCUAGCGUUGUCCGGAUUUAUUGGGCGUAAAGAGCGCGUAGGCGGCUAUCCACGUCGGGUGUGAAAGCUCGGGGCUCAACCCUGAGAGGCCAUUCGAUACGGGGUAGCUAGAGGCAGCUAGGGGAGAAUGGAAUUCCUGGUGUAGCGGUGAAAUGCGCAGAUAUCAGGAGGAACACCGGUGGCGAAGGCGGUUCUCUGGAGCUGUCCUGACGCUGAGGCGCGAAAGCUGGGGGAGCGAACAGGAUUAGAUACCCCUGUAGUCC